AACUGCUUGAUGGACACGGCUGAGCCGGACGUUGCAAUGCCAGACAAGAAGGCACCCACAGCGACACUGCGACGCGUGGACUGGCUGCACUUUGUGCGCACGCUGCAUCUGGAGCUGUUCCUGUUUGUGUACGCCGUGUCGUACUCCAUGCGGCUCGUCAUGACCCAGGACCUGCUGCUGACCAAAGCCUGUCUGCAGCGGUACAGCAUCAAUGCCACAGCGUGCCGCAACCUCUCCUGGAAUGUGACCAUCAAGGACGAUGUCACCCGGUAUGCCAACGUCCACAAUUUGGCCCUGUUCCUUAUUCAAUUCGUGCCAGCCGGCCUUCUCUCCAUCUUCGUCAGCCCCUGGAGUGACCGGUACGGCCACAAGAUACCGCUGCUCAUUGCCACGGCCGGUGGCAUCCUGCAGGACCUAACCACACUGUUCACCGUGAUGUCCAUCAGCGCGCCGCUGUACGCCACUGUGCUCUGUGCCAUUCCAAAUGGUUUUAGUGGCGGCCUUGUGUCAGUGUGUGCUUCUGUCUACAGCAAUGGCACACGGACAGCCUCAGCUGAACUAAAGACAGUGCGUUUCGCUUGCAUCAUGACAGCACUGACGUUGGGCUUUCAGCUGGGACUGUUUGUCGGCGGCCAGGUUUUCCGCGCGGCGGGAGGCAACUACACAGCGAUCUACGUGACGUCUGCCGUCCUGCUGGCGGUCAUGUUUGUGUGGAUUGGGUGGACAGUGCCGUUCAGUAGCCAGCUUCACCGGACAAGCAGACGGGAGCUUCUGCGGGACCUGAUGCGACUAGACAACUUGCGCGAGGGCAGCCGGGCGGUGUUUCGGCCACGACCGGGCUUCAACCGGGCCAAGCUGCUCCUGCUCAUGAUCUCCAUCUGGUUCAUUCUCUUCAACAGUGAGACGGCGCGCAACAUCAAUUACUUCUACACGGAGACCCGCUUCGACUGGAGCCCCGUCAAGUUCUCCAACGUGACUGCCUUCUUCGGCCUGGUGCAACUGCUGGCCACGGCCGUGUGUGUGGUCGUGCUCAGCCGGUUGCUACAGGUCCGGGACCUGGUGCUUGCUUGCCUGGGAGUGGUGGCCUUCGCUCUGCAGAAUGCCGUCAAGGGCGUCUCCACGCAUGAGUGGAUGUACUAUCUCAGUUACGUCCUCGGUGCCCCUGGUGGAGCGGCAGGCAUCGGGAUUUCAUCCUAUGCCUCCAAGCUGAUUAGCCCCCACGAAGCCACCAAGGUGUUCUCAUUCUGGACGACAUGCGAAUCGCUGGUGCCUGCAUUUGGAGACAUCUUCUCUUCGCUGGUGUUCAAUGCUGCUCUGAGCUACCAGCCUGGACUGCCGUUUCUGAUUGGUGCCGUCCUGCAGCUCUUCCCAUUAGCUGCACUAAUACUCUGCUUGCGAAUGCCUCAUGCCGACCCCGAAGACGAGGACGAGACCAUGCUUGAGCCCGACCGGGACGGUUCCAUAAACCAGCUGCCACACUCACUUUGAAGGAUGUGACCAGGAAUGCCUCUUCACCACUCUCUGCAUCAGGGAUGAGCUACCCUGCCUAGCUACCCUGCCUAGGGCAUGCCUCCUGAAUGCUGAGUGCCAAAAAUGCAGCCUGGGAUUCCAGAAUCACAGAGCAUCGGUACCAAGCAGCAGACAGAGGUCACCUACUCAUUUCUCGGUGGAUGAAGUCUUGUUGGCAGGCUCUAAACGUGCAACCCAGUGAGCUCGCUCCAGAGCAGGGCAUCAUGUUUUGCACUAUACUCUAAGAAAAGUUUGCACCCUUGGUGGCCUUUCUGGUCCCCAAACUAUAAUUGUCCCCCAUCUUGUGUGCCUUUCUUUAACGCUGCGUGCCUGGUAGAUUAUCCUGGUUCCGAAUAGCACAUGUGUUAUUGGCGUGAUGUAGCAUUUUUGACAGGAGAGUAGCAAGUGCAGAGUUUUCAAGAAAGGAAACACAAGCGAGACAGGUGAUGAUUAAUGUUUCGGAACAAGUAUGCCCCAGAGGGUCUAAACUUUUUUUGGAGUGUAUCAUCCAGGGCUCAACUGUUGCACAUUUUACACCGUGUGUGAAAACCCCAUGCAGUAUCCAUCCGCAGUAGCAGCUCGGGUGUUCUGCUGCUCAAGCACAAGGUCGCGGGUUCGAUUCCGGCUCUGGCAGUCACAUUUUAAAGGGUGUGGAAUGCAAGAACACUCUAGCACUUUGGCUUUGCACACACGUUAAACAAACCAGGCAGUCUAAAUUAUUUUGGAGCUUUUUUGUCAAAUUAAUCCGGAGCUUAUUGCAGCCCAUCUGGUUCCUUUGGGACGAACCCUGUAAUUAAAUUUUUUUAUUGUCGAAUCUGACAAUACUGUAAGAGUGAUUGAGAAAUACUAUUAACCAGCCAGCACGCUGCUCAGCUACAAUAUGAAACACCUGUGCUAUAUGUCGCUUCCUCAAAAGGGCAUGAAAUGGCAAAAUACCCCAGCGAUUCGAACAAGACUGGCGAAAAGGGAGACUUGAAGUGAUAAAUUCUGGCCAGAAAUGUUGUUUUCGAAGCCAUUACUGUACCAGUUUUAGCACUCCUUUUGGUCUUAAGCACAUGGUAUUCUUAUUCUUUGUAUUUCCUUGGUACUCCCGUUCUUUUAACCACUGGUGACAUUUAAAGCUUCGAAGAUACUGCACAUGGCCAGGUCUGUUGAUGAGCCAUAAGAAGGUCUCUCUGUAGAACUUUUAUCAUGCCAAAGGCACUGAAAGAGAAUCCACAAUAAGGUGUGCCACAGGCUUCUCGCAAAUAAGGCCCAACGAGGGCACAUUUAACUUGAGCAGUUCGAAAUUUCGUCAUGAAGACCGUGUGUGUGCAGCUAGUUUUGUCUGCCAUCUGGAAAGCAUUGAUGAAAAGGCCCUGUCAAUUUGCAUUCAUUUCGGCAGAUCAAAAUUGAAGAAAAGAUGCAUGCAAAGAAAGAACUGAAAUAGACAAGACGAGCGCUAGGCCAAUGCUCGUCCCAUCGGUUUUGUUCUUUGCUUUAUCUACAUGUUGCCUUCAGCUUUGCAUUCUAGUAAGCGGUAGCAACGAACUAGCCUGCGGUGAAAAUUGUUUUUACAAGUGGCAUCACCAGAGGCUGCAAAAAUUCAGCUUUUGCAAUGAUAAUUCAUUACGAUAUUCAAUAUGAUGAUGAUGACAUAGUUGGUGUGUGACUAUGUUGGUAUAUGUUCUGCACUAGGCACCCCUAGUGUGCCUAGUGCAUAACAUAUAAACCAAGAAAAAGGUAGCAUUGCUGGCAUUGUGCACGCCCUCUUGGGUGCCAAAUGCAAAGCAUGUAGAUUCACAAAAAAGCACUGUAGGCAUGCUUUCCUUGCUUCUUGUAUGAAACACUGCUUGCCAAGGUUCCCCAAUUUUGUCCUCAACCAGUUCUAUACUGUAUUUAUUCGAUUAUAAGGCAGUCAUGAUUAAAAGGCGAGGGUGCAAUUGGGGGACCCAAGAAAAAAACCUUCAGCAAGCACACCAACAUAAGGUGAUACAGAGUAGCCAACGGAUUAUCGAGAUUCGGCGGGGAUCGCCUGUAAUACUGAAUUACUAACACAGCCAAAAUGCAAAAUGGCGACCAUGAAAUAAGGGGGGAGGGGGAAGUUUCAACACGCUAAGUGCGGGUUAUAUGCGAAUUUUGCCUGUAGGUGUGGCUUCACAGCAGUGCAAAUUUAUCCUAGAGUGUGGCUGCCGUAUAUAGAACUAAUGACGUAGCAGGAUAUUAUUUCCCGUGAUCUCGCCAACAAAUACCAGAUUGUUUCUUGAUGUUUCUUUUGAGAUUGCUUCUUGAUGUUCAGGUGCUCCUAAAGCUAACAAGAAAGCAAAGACUGCCACCUUUCGAUUCGCCUAUGUGUGUCGUGGACAGCUGUCAGCAUGAAGUGCAAGCCAGCUGACCCGAUGGCUUUGUGAAUGUGUGUGCUUAGUCCGACAGUGCCUGUUGCGGCAUAGUGGCCAGAAUAAGUUCCAGACAAAGUUCCACACGGGGAGUCCUUGUUGAGACACCAGCCUGAUUGUGUUGCCUUUUGCGCGCAGCCGUCACGAGUUUUGAUGUUCUCAUUUGGUCAAAGGAGCACCACGAAUGCGUUUAGGUGUUGUCAGCAAGCUGCCAAGGGUAUUUCUGUUGGGUAUGUCUUGUGAGUGAACUCGUAGUAACUCUGAUAAUGGGCUUAGGCUGUAAGAAGUCUCUCCGCAAGAGCGGUCGUGCAGCAGAAUCAAAAGCUGGUCGAGUUGAUGUUGCAUGACGCCGCUUGGCCCAGGGAACAGUGGACAUAAAAUUACAUGAUGUGUUAUGCGGACAGGGCACGGCAGAAGACAGAAGACGUGGCAUCUUCUUUGCCACAUUGUGUGCCCCGUUUGCAUUCCACAUCAUAUAAUGCAAUACCAAUAAUGCCCAUUGGUCUGUUCUUUUGGACAGAAUAGCAAAUGGGACCAAUAGAUGUGCACUUCCAGCUAAACUUUAUUGAACGCAGGAUGCAGAGGAAAACAACAGCCAAAGUGCACAUGUGGAAUUAGUCAAAUAUAAGGGCACUUUGGUGGUGGGGUUAAGAGUGGCGUGACGCAUGACAUUAUGCGGCUAUAUUAAACACAGCACGCACUAGCCAGGACCUCUCUUAAACUUCAUGUACCAAGGAGCAGCUGACACUACUCUUUGGUACAGUCAAACCUCAAUAUAAUGAAGUCGCAUCUGGUGCAAAAGUUAUUGUUCUGAUAUUUUUUAUAAGCAUAUACUGCUUACAUUCUGAUAACGGUGAGAAACAUUUUAAAUUUACUUUGUUAUAAAUUAUAAUUCAUUAGUAUAUCUGUGUUUGUUGUAUUGAGACCUGACUGUGCGUGCUUAAUAAAGCUUGCCAAGACCAGUGAGGGGUUCUUUUCCAUAACUUUUGAGCUUUGAGCUCGUACACAGACAAUCAAAUGUUCUGCACGCUUGCGUGUUCCCAGGGCUCAGCUUCAGAUAGCUUGCAUUACUUGGCAAACUGUGUUUGUGUUGUGACAACGUUUUGUUGGCAUUCUGUUUGUCUGUUUGUGAGUGAGCUUCUGCAUGCUGUGAUUUGACGCGCAUUCACUCGUUUUUUGUUUCUUAGUUUGUGUUUUAAUCCAGACACUUCAGGUUUGCACUUCUGUUCCUGGUUAUUAGAGAGCUUUAGCUUGUCCACAAGCUUUUUGCCAUUUGCAGAUUACCUGGUUACUAAAGAUGCAAAUGCGAGAAGCCGGGUUGGUGGCGCCACCUGGUGGCAACGAUGUCAGCCAGCCGAACACGGAGCUAUUUUUGCAGUAACGAAGUGUGCUCUACUUCGGCACUGGUGUACAUUUACAGCAGCUGCAUUAACUAUGGAAUUUUUUUCAACGACAACACUCAUGAAACACAAGAAUGUGAAAAUGGCUUUGUGGUUAGAUGAAGCAUCACAAGAUGUCGCUACCAGUGUUGUUGCUGCCGUAUACCUCUCCAGUAACCUGGUAAAUCGCAAAUGGUAAGACGUUCUCGGACAAGCUAAAACACUAUUGCUAACGAGAAGUGUUGGUGUGAUUUGGUUACUGACUCGGCAUUGGUGCGGGCGCCAUGCAGGAGCAAUUGCAGUAUUACUGAAGGUUUAGGUCGUCUUAUUUAUGGCCAGCAAUUCAACUGUCCGCGCUGGUUGUGCGUUGUUACUAGUUCUUUGUUAGUCCUUUCUUUUAAGUUUUUCGACAUCAAUUUAAAAAAAAUUUUAGAUAUCUGUAUUCUUUUUUUCUAUAAAAAGAUUUUGCUUCUUUUUUUUAUAAUUUCGUCAAGUACCACAGGCGCUUUUUUAAUUCUGGAAGUGAACUCUUCUGCUGCGCCCCUAAAUAAGCCUCUCAUGCUUGUCCUUCAAAUGGCUACGGCUUGGUCACUGUCUUGCAUUCAGCCUUUACAUAGUGGCACUGCUGUUCAGGCACUCCUCAAGAAGCAUGACGAGAAAUAAUAUGAAUGCUCAUAGCCAAACAACAUAAGGCCACAUACAAAACCAUUUAACAGCACCUACAUCGCACAUUUGCAGGCCUUUUACAUUGCUAGUUUUUCUUGCAUAAAUGCCGAUCCCAAAUUGUUGUCUCAGCAGAGUAUGAAGACAAGCACUGACUACAAAUGAUUUAGUAAUGUUACUGUUUCAGCUCCCACAUGGGAACCUUGUCUCAACGAGAUCAUUGUGCAUGCUUGCUGACGCAUUGUGUUUCGUCAGGUCAUGAUAUCAGCAGGUAACAGACAUGUGUGAUUGUAAAAGAAGAGAAUACAGUUGACAUCCGUUAAUUCAAAUCCUGUUAAUUUGAUCCCGAACGAAGGUCCCGGCCGGCACCCAUACAUUUUAAUGGCCCCAAACUUUUGUUAUUUCAAUCCUAAAAUUGGCCUUCGCCAGAUGGUUCGAACUUGACAACUCAGCACGCACACACUUGACCUCAAUAGUGACCCCAAUAGCGACCCCUUUAGUGGCACUGUUUGACCCGGCGGAGCUUAGACAGUGAACGCUUUAAACACGUCAUCUGUUUCUCAAAAACGGCCAUUUUCGGCCCGCCUUAGGAUGAUUUUUAAGUAGUAACUGUAGCUUCACAAUGUCUGGUUACGGUAUUUAUCUGAUUCUAAUGCGCACCUUUCUUUUCUUAAAGAAAACUGGGUGGGCCACAAAUUUCCUUGCACGGUGAAAUCUGACAUGGAACCAAAACAGCCUUUGCAAUGGUCGUAUGCUUUACUGCAUAACAUGGGUGUAUUGCGGCGGAGCAGGACUUUUAAAAAGAUUGUGUGUCGAAGGUGACGUUAGGAAACUGGCUGCCUUUGUGCAACAAUUUUUCUUGCUAGAAAAUCGGGUGCGUGUUAUAUUUCUACUUUGUUUAGGAGCUUUAAUGUUAUUCAUACGUUAGUUUACUACUUUGUAUUCAUAGAAAGUGUGCACGCGUUUGAUUCGGAGGUGUAGUAGGAUAGGGCAAAUAUUGCCACAUGAAUGUGCAGUGUGUUUCGGAGUUUUUUUUCCUGCAAUUAGUUGAAUUUGACCCACCGGAUAAUUCAAUCAGUUUCGUCGGUCACGUCAGGGUCGAGCUAAUGGAAGACGACUGUGUAAUCAUGCGUUUUUAUGUAAAGCCUGCUACACAUUCAAACUAUGAUGGGCAUUCUCAACCAAAACGAUGAUAAUUUACCACCAGUAUACGCUAGGCGUCUUGGUCACAUUAUGUGACAUACUUACGCUACUUUUUCAUUGCUUUCUAAUUGUAUUGUGAACAAUGCUCCCGUGUGGAAGCCGUAGCAUUAAGAUCACUACAUCUUUUGUUGUCGGUGUCUAUAUUCAUCUUUCAUCAUGUUCUGUCGCGACCUGAUGGGAUUCCAUCAUACGAUUGAUUUCAAAAUGUUGUCUCUAGUAGGCGCCUACUCAGCAGAUUUAUUAAUGAGCUGGCUUGUUGUCAUUUGCUACAGAGCGCUUCCAAUCGCUGUCAUCACAGGCCUAAUGAAACCUUCUGUGGAAUGAAGUCCUUUUCCAAGGCAAUCUCUGUACCUGUUGCCUUCUCUAUCUACGUCUGUGAACUCUUAGUAAACCCAUCAGUCCAUCUGAUUUGAGAGAAAACACUGGAGGGAUGACAGGCACUGGUAAGAUAUUGUUCUCAAUCAUCAAGUUGGUUGUGCCCACUGAUAAAAUUUCUGACUCAGUAGAUACCUCCCAUACUGCUGCACUUGAGAACACUGAAUAUUCAUCAAAGAAAGCAUUCUUUCAAUGUUUUGGGCACCACACGAUUAGUUAUUACUGAGCUGACUACAUAAGGGAAUGGAGAACAUCUGAACAAUGUUAUCCAUUUGUGAUGGGUGUGGCACCAAAAAAAUUUGUGUUUCCUAUUGCAACAAAUGCCUUUGACAAAAGACUGGUUGAAGAAAAGACAAAGCUUUGUUUAUUUGUCAUUCUGCACUGCAGUCGACUUGCAAUAAUUUGGACUGUGGUGAUUACAAACGUCACAAUUUUGGUAGGGGUUUCAUGUUCUUAAUGCAUUUUAAGGUCACUUUGUCCUGACAUUUAAGGCAUUCAGUUCAAGCAUCUAGGGCCAGAGUGACACAAUUAAAUGUAAUUGAUGAGAUAACAUUUAUGAGGAAUGUAGUAAACUCCAAAUGGCACGGCUUUACAGCAAUGCAUUUUGAGAGAGAUGGCUUCAUGUGUCUGGGAAAAUAUGGUUGCUUGGUAAUUUGGAAAGACAUGGUGGAAUAAAUAUUGCCACGAGAACGUCUGCAGCCAUAAGCACGAAAGAUUAGACAAAUCUAUGUACUGCCAUGACAGCUGGACGAUUGCUGCGCCAGAUUGCACCCUGGUGAUUUUUGUAGGAAACUCGAUGAUGAGGUGAGGUUAGGAAAUGUGCAGUCACACAACUCACUUAGCUGAUGAAACGUGAGGAGUUCAAGGUAACUGGUGGAGGCUUUCACUUCUCAGUGAGCAUGAAUUAGGCCAGGGAUGAUGAAUUGCGAAGCAUCAUUCUGGAAGAGCAUGAACAACAGAUGCUGUGCCUUUGCUGCUCCGACUGCAGUAUUCAUUUUAAGGAUCGCGUUGAGCUCUCACUGUUUGUUGUGCUGUGUUCGUUUGUUGUUUUACUUGGUCUUUCAUUAUGUGUAUGUUUGUGCUGCAUGAAACAACUGUAAUGACCAACUCAUGAAGCUCCGGAUGUGUUGAGGAGCCAAACAAUGCAAGAGCUGAUUGCAAAGGCAGGUGUGGUGGAAAGGGAAACUAGUUUUUCUUCAAGUUUUCCCUGUGAGAGAAAUAUUGAUGCCAGAGUGGCGAAUAGUCUUUCCUUAAACUACUUUUUGCCUUUUUUUUUUUUUUUUUAAGCCAGGCUUGCCAAAUCAGUCUUGCUUUCAUUUGAAAUAAUUGUGUGAUGCUGUUUUGUUUUGUGUUAUUUUAUAAAAUGGGUGACUCAUGCAGCCCAUCUAGAAACGCCUGUUGUGGUAGUUUUGAUCUAGUCCUUUCCUUUUCUUGCAUAUACACACACAUUUUUUUUUUUUUUUUUUUAAUUCCUUUGUUAUCCUUUGGGCUAAUGCACUGCGGCAUGUUUUUUAUAGUUUUUACCUGCUUCUGCCUUCAAUUGAGAAGGUGAAUUGUUGAUUGAGUAGCUAGCGAUUUGGUGCUGGCUUAAAUGAAGCCUUAAUUGUAAUCAUUGUUGCAGAAUGUAGCUGUGAAUACAUGUACACGGAGAAGUGUUUUUUAACAGAGUGCCGCUUGUUAGCCACAACUGUUGACUGUGAGUUUGCCUUUUCGCCUGUACUCAAGUAACAGCCUGUAUUAUUGGUUGUUGAAGAAGCUUUUAUUUCUGGUUCUGUAAUAAAGGGUAAUCUCUGCAA